AUUGAACGCUGGCGGCAGGCCUGACACAUGCAAGUCGAACGAGUGGCGGACGGGUGAGUAAUGUCUGGGAAACUGCCCGAUGGAGGGGGAUAACUACUGGAAACGGUAGCUAAUACCGCAUACCAUCGGAUGUGCCCAGAUGGGAUUAGCUAGUAGGUGGGGUAACGGCUCACCUAGGCGAAGAUCCCUAGCUGGUCUGAGAGGAUGACCAGCCACAUUGUAACUUGGCCACGGUCCAGACUCCUACGGGAGUCAGGAGUGGGGAAUAUUGCACAAUGGUCGCAAGCCUGAUGAAGCCAUGCAGCGUGUAUGAAGAAGGCCUUCGGGUUGUAAAGUACUUUCAGCGAGGAGGCGUUACGCGCAGAAGAAGCACCUGCUAACUCCGUGCCAGCCGCCGCGGUAAUUC
rnacentral:rRNA from 1 species